ACACACUUUUUUUGUAUCAAUUAUUUCUUAUACCUCCAAAUUUAUUUCUCUUCAACAUCUCUUGUUUUGUAUCUAAACCUUUCUUAGCUAAAACAACAACGUGUACAAUUGGAUAUACAUCUCAAUUAAAGAAAUAUAUUAAAAUACAAUUCAUUCUUUAUCUCUCAUAUUUCAAAAUAAAAAUUGGAAAUCAUUUUCAUAGUUUCUCCCCUUUCAUCCUCCAUCCCUCGACCAUGUUCAACUUCGAGAAAUCAUGGCAAAAUCUAAGUCGAAGAAGAAAAGAAACCUCAAUAGUCAACCUUCCUCACCAGAUCGACAUCGGAGGUUUCUAUUUCGAAUUUCUAAACUUUUUUUUUAUUUUAAAAAAUUCUCAAAAUCUCUAAUUUUUCUUGUUUUAAUUGUUUAUGUUGUAAUUUCCAAUUGAAUCAAAUAUUUGAGAUUUUGUGGACAUGAGAGAUGACGAGCAGAUCCGAGAGCUCUGAUGUGGAGAGGACGACAUGACGGUGAGCAGGUCUGAGCUCCGUUGUGGAAAAGAGCUCGUUGUGGAAAAUAACUCUCGUAGUGUGAAGAAUCUGAGAUUAAAAAGUUGAACAAUUCUUCUUCGUAUCAGAGAUCUGAAGAGUAAAGAUUAAAAACUUUAUAUCUGGAUUUAUAAGUUUAUAUACGAAAGAAAUAAAAGAAUGCAAACGGAAGGUAAAGCGCUUGACUUUAAUUAAAAUACAGACGUGGAGGAAGUUGUGGUUAUGGAGAAGGCAGUGGUGGAGACGUGAAAGUGGAUAUCGUAGUGGAUGCAGUUGCGGUGGAGGUGUACAACACCUAAUUACAGUGAUAGUGUUCUCUUGUUUCGAGGUUUCAAAUUGAUCUAUUAAACAAUUCAGGUCUUAUAUUAUCAUAAAAAUAUUUGGGUUUAGCUAUAUUGCUAAUAAUUCAUGAGUUUUGAAAGUUUAGAAGUUGUACAUUAAAUCAUACAAAGUCAUUAUGGUAAACUAUUAGGUUUUACAAAUCUUGGUAAGCUUACAUUACGAACUUUCACUUUCAUUUGUUUAUGUUCACAUUUUUUAUUAAUUAGAUGUUGUCUACAGCAUCUUGUUUUCAA